CUAUUUUUAAAGCAAACAUUUGUACAAACAACAAAGAUAACUUUCAGAAUAACAAAAUAAUAAGAAAUGUUUUAUUAUAUAUUUUUCAACAUAGUAUAACACAUUAUAUUGUAGAUCAAUAUAUUGAUAACAUCAAUAUAUUUGCGAGGCAUCUUGCAGCGGUUGAGGAGGAAAGUGUGUCAAUCUGAAGGAGUCCUAAGGAAGGAAAGUGGUCCACACUUUAUAGGUCGUUCCGGUGGAAAACAACUUCUUAGAAAGGGGCAGCCCUAAGCAUGCAAAAAGCUAAGACAUUCAAACAUUUGGUUACACCCAUAAAUGAUUGGCAUUGACAAAUGAAGUUAAUAUAAUCAAAUUAUUAGAUCAAAUUAGUAUUAAACAAAAAAUAAA